UUUAGAGCGCUUUAAGAGCAGCUUGGUUAGUGAGUUCAAUAAUUCCAAGCAUUAAGUCUUUUAAUGAACUAGCUUUUCUAUCUAUGGGACACUACUUGGAGAAAUCCAAGUAACCUUUAAACUCACAUUUAGA
rnacentral:rRNA from 1 species